GGCUCCCGUCAAACCCGCAGGCUCCGGGGAAAGGCGCCCCUUCUCUGUUUGACCUGAGAUGAAGCCAUCAGGGUGCGGAGCCCCGUCUCCACCGUCUCCCGACAAAUGUCUUUCUCUUGUUCCUCUCAAACUGCACUGCCCAGCUAGCUGCUCUGAGGGCCAGAGCCACAGGACUCAGCACCCGGUGCCCAGGG
rnacentral:lncRNA from 1 species